rnacentral:rRNA from 1 species
UACAGAGGGUGCAAGCGUUGUUCGGAAUUAUUGGGCGUAAAGGGCGCGUAGGCGGUGCGGUAAGUCCGCAGUGAAAUCUCUGGGCUCAACUCAGAGUCUGCUGUGGAAACUGCCGUGCUUGAGUGUGGGAGAGGUGAGUGGAAUUCCCGGUGUAGCGGUGAAAUGCGUAGAUAUCGCUUGGAACGCCAACGGUGAAAACAGGUUGCUGGGGUUGUGCCGACGCUGAGACACGAAAGCCAGGGGAGCAAACGGG